CUCCUCUCAGGACCACACCUGGAGAGUUUGCAGUACUCUACCAGUCUCAACUACAGGAGGGAGAGUCAAGCAGAGGCAUAUCCAUUCCAUUCCUAGCUUGGGCAGUGGCUAACAAAUGGAAGGCAAUCUGCUACAAAU
rnacentral:snoRNA from 1 species